AUUAAAUUACUGACUCCGGCGGCCGUUUCUGUACAAAUCUGCCCGUAUCUCCUCCCGCUGUCCAACCGUCAGCCGCCCAUCUAUCCCAAUUCGUCGACGGAAACCCCGCUCGAUAAACCCUCUCUUAACGCACGCCUACACGGAUGCCACUUUCUUAAUCAGGCGUUUUCUAUCAUCGUCCUUUUCUUACCCCGAAUCUCUACAAUUGUUGGGCUGAUCUUUUCUGGUUGUAUCUCAGAUUUUGGGUCAAGAUGUCCAGAAAAUAAUUUGAUGGUUGGGGAGCUCCAAUUAAAGAAUAGUCAUGGGUGAAGAAUUACAUCUGAAUCCAAUUCCUUUGGAGAGCCGACCUGGCAUCCUUUUCAUUGGAUCCUCAAAUGUUGGCAAGCGCUCCCUCCUCUCUAGAUUACUCACUGUGGACUUUGAAGAUGCUUUGAACUCAUCCUCUCAAAUUUCGGUCCAUGGUUGGACUAUCAAUACGCAAUAUUACACAGCCGAUGUGUCAGUAUCAGUGGCUCAUUUGCACGAGGAAUUUUCCAUUGAGGCGUUGCCUAUGUUCAAUCAGUUGGCUGCCUUAGUCAUGGUCUUUGACCUGAAUGAUCUUUCAUCUCUUGUGACCCUUCAGGAUUGGGUCGCUCAUGUUGAUGUACAAAAAUUUGAUGUAUUAUUAUGCAUAGGAAAUAAAGUAGAUGUUGUUCCAGGUCAUCCAGUUCAUAUCGAGUACAGAAAACUUGUGCAAAAGCAGAGACAUAAAGACUCCUCUAUAGAUUAUUCAGAUACAGGCGAAUAUGGAAUUUAUGAAAUUGAAGGAAGUAGUUUAUUGGGAGACGAAGAUUCCUCUUGGGAAACUAGGAGGUCAUGUUUGGAGUGGUGCAUUGAACGCAAUAUUGAGUUCAUCGAGGCUUGUGCGUCUAAUGCAGAUUUUGAUAAAUGUUUAUCAAUUGAUGGUGAUAUACAAGGAGUUCAAAGGCUCUAUGGUGCUCUUUCUGCUCAUAUGUGGCCUGGAAUGAUUCUAAAAUCUGGAGAUAAGAUUACCAACCCAUCAUUUCCCAAAGAAGAAGAAUUGUCAGAAGAAGAAUCUGACUUUGAAAUUGACUACGAAAUACUAUCUGGGGGUUCAGCUGAGAUGUGGGAUGACAUUAGUUUCAAAGGUUGCUCGUCGAACGGAGAAGGUUCGUCCAUAGAUGCCGGAGCUCUUGUAAACGAUGUUGAUAUUGCCGAGCAAGAUCAAGCUAGUCAAAGUAUCUGUGAACCACCCAAGGCUGAAGAAAACCAUGUGGCUGUGGAUGGAGAACUCGAUCAAAUGACGAAUCCAUUCAUUGGAAAACAUCUUGAUCUCGAGGAUUUAGAGCGGUUGAUGUCCGAGAUAGGGAACGUGCGCGACAGCUUGAGGUUGAUGCCUGAUUUUCAAAGGAGAGAAAUGGCUGCAAAGUUGGCCCUGAAAAUGGCCACCAUGUUUGGAGCCAGUAGUGAAGAUGAUGAUGAGGAAACUAGUUGACAAGAACAAAUUGGUCCAUUCCUUUAGUCAAUUGGUCUGCUUGAACAUUUAAAUUGUGGCUCUCAGCUAUGGCUACCAAGCUUAUUUAUUUCAGUGGUGCAGGCAUUAUCAAUGAGAACUCAUCUCCUUGUGUAGGUGUUGCCAAUGGAUCGCCCUCGUAAUCAGACGACUCGAGGUCCUCAUACGUAGGCACACGUAUGGAGUGUUCUUAGUUUUAAACCGUUGCA